ensembl:lncRNA NR2F2-AS1 NR2F2 antisense RNA 1
GACUUUGGACUCACGUAGGCAUAGGAGAACGAAACUUCUGUACAUUUUAAUCUGAAUAAUUCUUCAGGAUUUAAAAUUAAUUGGCUCUGGCUUGGUUGGACCGUACUCGGAUCUCGCCACCUCUGCGUUUCCCGAGUCACUGGCGAAGAGGUCCCAGUUCCUCUGGGAAUCGUCCUGUAUGCAACAUCUUCACAAGAGUGGCAGGCAGUUGAAUCUCUGGCCUUCGUGGGACCACUGGACAUCUGGCAGAGAACCAGGAAACCACGGUUCCCUUCUGUGAGUCCCUCAGCCGGAAAACUACAAGAAUGAAAAAAAUGCAUGGCAUACAUCACCAAGAAUCAAAGGUUGUGCCUGGCAGUGUAAUUGACUAUGUAAUAAAGAGAGAAGCUUUGCUAGCUCCUCAUGCAGCUGCUGUCUACAGACCCCCUGGACUGCCUGGGGAAGUGAGUCGGAGCUCCUGCAGCAGAGGGGUGGAACAGCUACACGAAGAUCCGAAGGUGGCCAAAAAUAACAGCGCUUUCCAGAUGAGGGAGCCAGUUGUCCAGCACAGUGUCAUGGGACAGUGGGCCCUGGUGCCACAAUGCCCGGCAUCUCCACCAGAUACAGCUUUGAGAUCUUCAUGAUGAAGCUUGCUCCAAUCCAAGGGCUGUCAGGUGGGGUUUGCGGUUCAGCUGCUAACCUUUCUUUGAUCCAAAUCCUGUCUUCACUGGCUUCAAGAAUCCUGUCUUCACUGGCUUCAAAACUGGGAUGAAGGAGGCUCCUUAGUGGAGAGCAAAGCAAAGAGAAACUCAAAUUGGAUCCAUAUUAAAGAAGAGAAGGAUGGAUUUGUUUAGACAACACAAACCUAGGAAGGGUUUGAGAGGUGAAACAAACUGGGUUAUGGAUGAACGGGGGCAAUUGGAAUGUAGAAUUGAAGCAGUAAUUAACAUCUUGGUAAGUUACCCACCAUAAAACGCUUUAGAGCAA